rnacentral:lncRNA from 1 species
GGUAGUAGCUGUCUAAAAGCUUUAAAACGGCGAAAACUUUUCAUAAAUCAACUCUGAGAGAGAGAGAGAGAGAAAGUUUAGUCGCCAUUUUUUUCAACAACAGGCGUCGCGCUAUUUUGUCCAUUAAUUCUGUCGUCACCUGUUGUCGUCGUCAUCACCUGUUGUCGUCGUCGCCACCUGUUGUCGUCGUCACCACCUGUUGUCGUCGUCACCACCUGUUGUCGUCGUCGUCGUCACCUGUUGUCGUCGUCAUCACCUGUUGUCGUCAUCACCUGUUGUCGUCAUCACCUGUGUCAGGUGGCGGCAGCGACCGAUGCUGCGUUCCAGUGCGCCUCGGAACUCGGAGCUCGGACCCCGGAAGUCGGGGUGCAGACCUCUCCGGAGCGGGGAGGGAGCUCUGCCUGGAGCUCACCUGGAGCUCUGCCCCCGGGUCACGUAUCAUCUCUGUGAGGCGGUCUUCACCCCUGAAGGACAACUCUAUACGACUCUACUCAGCCGCCGACAGCACCGAGGACCAGACUGGACCGUCGGACGCGUUUUUCAUUGAAGACGCCAAAGGUAAUGAAGAUGUCUCAACAUCCUGCAAUUGGUCCAAAAAAACAAACAGCUGUUCGACUAAACGGGAAAAUCCCAAUGUUCAGACCAAACGAGAUAAUGUGGGAGGAGCUAGUCCGGGACAGACGCAUUCACAGCAGGAACAUUCCGGGACAUUCAGCACUGCUGGUCCAAUUCAGGGAAGCCGAAGCUGAUCCCGGUCCGCAGAAGUUAAAAAGCUGGAUGCGUGGUGAAGCAUGGUGGCGAAGAUGGUUAGGACGCACUUAAUGGGGCCACUGUCAUGGGGCCGGGUCAAACGGCCGAGUGUAAUGGGAACAGGAGUCCUUUAUCUGCUGCUGCUCUCAACCUGCCUUGGCCAAGACACAGAAGGUAAAAGGCGGUCUCUCAUUUUGUCGUCGUCCCCCCUCUCCCCCCUCUUCUUAUCCAUCUCUUUUUCAUUCCUUCUUUUUGGCUUUGUCUCGUCUUUUCCCUCUUUGGCUUCCUCUUUUUUUCCCCACUGUCUUAUAAAUCAGAAGUGAGUCAAGUCUGCUCAGCGGGGAUUUGAUAUGAGAAUUGCACACAUCACUUUUUUGAACUUCAGGCUUAUUGUCGGCUGUCAGCCAAUCUGAUUCAUUUCCUGAUUCAUCAUUGAUCCCUUUUAUGACGUGUGAUAACUACAACACAGUUUGUCAAGGUGUACUUAGUUUUCCUAUUUGCUUUCCAUUUCCAGUAGUAUUUUCGUCUGAACAAACAUUAAUAGCUUAUGCCAUCCAUCUCAUCCAGAAAUGUUUAUUGUCCACUCGCAUGGAAAUAUUUCUCGGGCCACAAGCACACCA